GGAUUAGAUACCCUGGUAGUCCAUGCCGUAAACGAUGAAUACUAGGUGUGCGGGAGGUUGACUCCUGUGUGCCGCAGCUAACGCAUUAAGUAUUCCGCCUGGGGAGUACGGUCGCAAGACUAAAACUCAAAGGAAUUGACGGGGGCCCGCACAAGCGGUGGAGCAUGUGGUUUAAUUCGAUGCAACGCGAAGAACCUUACCUGGGUUUGACAUCCCGCGCUAUUUUGAGAAAUCAGGAGUUCCUUUCGGGGACGCGGUGACAGGUGCUGCAUGGCUGUCGUCAGCUCGUGCCG
rnacentral:rRNA from 1 species